rnacentral:rRNA from 1 species
ACGGGUGAGUAAAGUAUCGGAACGUGCCCAGUCGGGGGAUAACGUAGCGAAAGUUACGCUAAUACCGCAUACGAUCUAUGGAUGAAAGCGGGAUCGCAAGACCUCGCGCGAUUGGAGCGGCCGAUAUCAGAUUAGGUAGUUGGUGGGGUAGGCCCACCAAGCCGACGAUCUGUAGCUGGUCUGAGAGGACGACCAGCCACACUGGGACAGACACGGCCCAGACUCCUACGGGAGGCAGCAGUGGGGAAUUUUGGACAAUGGGCGCACCUGAUCCAGCCAUGCCGCGUGCAGGAUGAAGGCCUUCGGGUUGUAAACUGCUUUUGUGGAACGAAAGGUUCUGCCCUAAUAAGCUGGGAAUAUGACGGUACCGUAAGAAUAAGCAGGCUAACUACGUGCCAGCAGCCGCGGUAAUACGUAGGGUGCGAGCGUUAAUCGGAAUUUGGGCGUAAAGCGUGCGCAGGCGGUUAUGUAAGACAGAUGUGAAAUCCCCGGGCUCAAUGGGAACUGCAUUAGUGACUGCAUAGCUGGAGUACGGCAGAGGGGGAUGGAAUUCCGCGUAGCAGUGAAAUGCGUAGAUAUGCGGAGGAACACCGAUGGCGAAGGCAAUCCCCUGGCUGUACUGACGCUCAUGCACGAAAGCGUGGGGAGCAAACAGGAUUAGAUACCCUGGUACCACGCCCUAAACGAUGUCAACUGGUUGUUGGGUCUUCACUGACUCAGUAACGAAGCU